rnacentral:rRNA from 1 species
UGGGGAAUAUUGCACAAUGGAGGGAACUCUGAUGCAGCAACGCCGCGUGCGGGAUGACGGCCUUCGGGUUGUAAACCGCUUUCAGCCAUGACGAAGCUUUUGUGACGGUAGUGGUAGAAGAAGCACCGGCUAACUACGUGCCAGCAGCCGCGGUGAUACGUAGGGUGCGAGCGUUGUCCGGAAUUACUGGGCGUAAAGAGCUUGUAGGCGGUUUGUCGCGUCGAUAGUGUAAACACGCAGCUUAACUGUGUGCCUGCUGUCGAUACGGGCUGACUAGAGGAGGGUAGGGGAGAAUGGAAUUCCCGGUGGAGCGGUGGAAUGCGCAGAUAUCGGGAGGAACACCAGUGGCGAAGGCGGUUCUCUGGACCUUUCCUGACGCUGAGAAGCGAAAGCGUGGGUAGCAAACAGG